rnacentral:lncRNA from 1 species
GUUUAAAAUUACUUUUUUUUUUAAGUUUUAAGAAUGUAGUAUUUUCUGAGGACUGAUAUGGUACAAAAAUGUAACCAAAAUUUUCAGAUACUACAUUUUUAAAAAGGAAGGAUGGGGAAGAUAUAUAUCGGCAUGAAUGACCCUGACGUAGAGAAUACAGUCUUUAAUUGAACCUUGGCAAAAUAUAUAAUUAGAUUAUAUUAUUAGUUCCUUGUUUCUGAUAAGGACAAAUGUUAACUGUCAUUUAACUGUCUUGAAGAAGAAUGAAAAGUGAUGCAUUUGGGCUUUUUAGAUCAUUUGUAACGAAAUUUGUACAGAAACCCUCCAGUGAAACUAAGUGAACCAUUUUCCAGAUCUUGACUGGAUUGCUGUGAUUUUACAGUGGAAAAAUAAUUUCAAAUUUCUUAGGUUUUUUUUGUACAUUUAUUUUUUUCUAACAAAUAUAUUGGACUAUAUAAUUAAAGUUAAGUAGUGAAAUCUUCAUAAUGCAGAAAUGGAUGAUGUGUUAUUUAGAAAAAAAUGAGUCAAUUUCACCAUUAUUGAAAAUGAUAGUGUGUAUGUUGGAAAUUUAAGUCAUUAAUUAGUUGCUUUUGAAGGGAAUCUAUUUGAAAAAUGUAAUUUCCUGAUGUUAUCUGCAUUGUAUUAGAAAAAUAGACUAAAGUCCAUUUUUAUAAAGAAAAAAGUAGUUGUAAGGUGUGUUCAGUAAAAAGAAGCGCACACAGUCUUAGUGUGGAGGACCUCUGGAGUGGUGCACAGAUAGUUCCAACUUCUGAGCAGUGAAAUAAGUAUUUCCAUAUUUCCUGUAAAAGGAAAUACAUUAUUUCUAUUUUAAAGACACUGUAUAUUUAUGACCAUGUUUGGACAUUUUCUCAGACACUGGUUUCUUAGUAAAGCAAAAAGACUUGGAUCAGAUUAUUUGUAACUGAAACACUUAAGAUAUAUUAAUACCAGAUACAGAUUUUAUAUUUUUAUAAUUUAGUUUCUGUAGUUUGCAAAAAAUUGAAUUAAGAAAUUUAAGUCAUCAUGUUUUGGGUUUUACCACUUGGAAAAGUCUCCUCUUUGAAGGCAGUAACAUCAUGUAUGUACUGUUUAUAGACCAGAAGGAAUUGUUGGCACUUGUCUUAGGUAAGCAAUAAGAAAAAUAUCAAGUUUACUAAACCUUUCAGAAAUAAAUUUUUUUAUGUGCAUGGAAUAUAAAAAUCAGUUUUCAGGCUGAAAAAUCUAGUGGUGCAUGCUUGUAAUCCCAGCCUUUGGGAGGUGGAGGCAUGAACAUCAGAGUUCAAAGUUACCUUUAGCUGCAAACCAACUUCAAGACUAGGGCUACAAUAGCAGCACCACCCCCAAAAUCAGUUUAUAUUAUUUCUCUAAUAUUUAACCAUAUUGUUCUUUUAUGCUAUCCUGACUUCACAAAACCUGUGUUUAGUAUGUUGUCAUAGGGUAGGAUUUUUUUGGUUUGGUUUGGUUUGGUUUUGGUUUUUCGAGACAGGGUUUCUCUGUGUAGCUUUGGAGCCUAUCCUGGCACUCGCUCUGCAGACCAGGCUGGCCUCGAACUCACAGAGAUCCAUCUGCCUCUACCUCCGAGUGCUGGGAUUAAAGGCAUGCACCACCAACGCCCGGCGUCAUAGGGUAGUUUAAAGACUCCAUCUAAUUACAGUCUACCAGCCUUUGGAAGUAGAUAUGUAGGUUCUUAAAAUUUCACCUUUCACAGCUUUGUUUGGAGCAGUCCGUCUUCCUACAUACAAGUGUAACCUGAAGAGUAAGGGUCUUACUGUCAUUGUAUUUAUUGCAUUGCCUCGCCUCACUGCAGCUCUAAAGACUUGUGGGUUUCUACGGUGUCUUAUUACAUUUAGGAUAACUGUGGAGCAUUUGUUGUGUGAUUAGGCCACAUCAGGCAGAGAUAAGUGAUUGACUGGAUUCAGUUUAACUUGGAUAUUAAUUAUGUAAGAUCGUGGACAGCAAACAUUCCCUUACACAGAAUUGUUAACAGAACCUUCUCUUAGCUGCAGCAUUGUAGAUUAACCAGAUACCUUCACAAGUGUACUGAAAUAAAAUUUUGGUCAUUGUGUGAUGUUAGCACAUUUGCAUGAUUAAUCUCAGUUGUCAGUGUUUAAUUUCGACAUUCCAUUUUAUACAUCCGUAGGUAUCUAUAAAUUUGUCUUAAAUGUUAAGUUGAAAGGAACUGGUUUUAAGCUUUCUAUCUAAAGAAAACAAACUGAUUUUUAAUAUUUUGUUCACCUGAAAUUUAUUUUUGCAUAGGUUGAAAGGACCAAGGUACUUGAGUAAUGAUUAAAGGGCUAUUAUCAGUGUUCAUCCUAUACACAGGAAAUAUAGUAUUUUAAAAGUGAGAACCUGGUUGGGGGAUUACUUUUGCCUAAAAUACAUUAGUCCCAAUUUAUCUCGACAAUCUUGCUGACAAUAGUAGCUUGAUUCAGUGAUAAAUUGUCUUACAUUAAAAUUGGGGAAAGUACACCUUUUGUUUCAAUCAAAAAAAAAAAAUCAGACUUUCCCCAGUUCCCCUGAUUUCUAGAUGACUUGAACUAAAAUUAAUGCAUUUACUAAGAAACUGUUUUGCUUUUAAUUACUUAUCCAAGUGCUCCAAAUGAAAUGUCAUUUUGAACUAUGUACAGUACCCCAGGAAGAGGUCAGAUGAGUCACAAGACUGUAAGUACCACUGUGAGCGCUCUGGAGGUGAACCUGCACACAUUACAGUGAGUAGACUAUCCCAGCUAUAAAUAGAUUUUUUUUAGUUUUAAUAGCUCUGUUUUGAAGUACUUUUUUAAUGCAGAUAAAAAUAUCAGGAAAUUAACCUUAUAUGGCACAAACCAAAUACAUAGUAGUAUAUGGAUGAGUUUCUACAUUUAAAGAGCUAAGAAAAUAGGUUCAGGAUUGUAUUAUAGUACAUGCACUUACAAGGCAAAUGCACACACAAACUGAUUACUUUCAAGGAUGUGGGUGUUGAUUUAUCACAACAAUAAAUUAAAAAAUAAGAUACAAUGUUACAUUUUUAGACCAUAUUGAAACUGCAAGAAGAGACAGGUCUUAAAACGUUAUUAAGAAAACUGCUAAAUCCCGCCACGGGAUGUUUAGACAUGUGUAGAACAUAGCUCAGUUUUUAAAAGGCAACUGACCUAAAGGGUUAAAGUUGUAACUGACACAUUUCAAAUUAAAAUUAUGUUUAUUUUGUACAGAAAGCAAUGUUAAACACAAGCAAAUCUGUUGUAUGUAAUAAGUGACAGAGUUUUUUAAAAAUUAUUUAGCUUUAUUGAUGUUUUGUUUUAUUUCUUCUAGACCUGGAGUAUCAUGUCAUAAACGGCAGUCUUGCACCGAGGUAGCAGGCCCUUUCUUUUUGUACAUAUUGAUUGGACCUUUCUUUACUGUUAAGUGGACACUUUCUAUGUUAGUUUUGAUGCAUAAUUCUUGGAAUCCUUUUAUACAAACUAGAAUGUAUGUGUAAGAAUUCCUGUCCCUGCAAUGUAGUAACUAUAAACUUAUUUUUAAAUAAAUAGAAAACUUGUUUUUCUAAGCCAUUUUGUAUAGCCUCAUGAUUUCUUUGCUUUUUUGUUUGUUUUGGUUAGUUUUGGACAACAAAAAGCAAUUGGUACAUACUCAGUAGGCAACUUACCAAAGCGAUUGUGAUAUAGAAGCCAU